CUGUCAUUCUGCCUGGUUUCGUUCCCACCAGCUUCAUUAAAACACAUAAAGCUGAGCUACCACGGCACACACACCAUUUGCUCCAGCCCCGCCAACACUAUGGUUUCUAGAACUUCAACUCCAACCCCAUCCUCACCCUCAGCAACCCCAAGACCUGCAGGAGAGAACUCAGGCCAGCCCCUAGGUGAAGCUAGAGCUUCCUGAACAGGAGUGAAAGGUGACAUAGACUUCACCUGGACCAGGAGGAAGGUACAAACAGCCCUGGGGGCGCUUAAAUCUGGCAUCCUGGAGAUAGGUGAAAUGUCCCCUCCCCACAUGGGAUCCUGGUCUUGGAGGUGUAAUUCUGGAAGACCCAGGUGACACCCACUUUGCUUCUGUCAGGAGCCCCCUUCGCAGCAGCAGAAUGGGCAGAUUUCUCUUUAGUGAGGGGCUUUGUCUGAAGAAGAAACUUUGGCUGGUUAGAGUUUGUGAGACUGGGCAAGUGACCUUACUACAGAUCCUCUACAUCCAUUCGGUGUUUUGUUUUGUUUUGUUCCUGUAGAGCUCUGUACUGAGAACUUGGGAUGA